rnacentral:rRNA from 1 species
AAUAUUAUCCCGCGUUGGAAAGAAUCGGUGGGCUUGCCAAACGCCCCCAUAAUCUCCAAAAUUGACCUCGGAUCAGGUAGGGAUACCCGCUGAACUUAAGCAUA